GUUUGAUCCUGGCUCAGAGCGAACGCUGGCGGCAGGCCUAAUACAUGCAAGUCGAGCGGUUCCUUCGGGAACAGCGGCGGACGGGUGAGUAACGCGUGGGAACGUGCCCUUUGGUACGGAACAACUGAGGGAAACUUCAGCUAAUACCGUAUGUGCCCCCCUUCUUAGCGGGAGGGGUGGGAAAGAUUUAUCGCCAUUGGAGCGGCCCGCGUUGGAUUAGGUAGUUGGUGAGGUAAAGGCUCACCAAGCCUACGAUCCAUAGCUGGUCUGAGAGGAUGAUCAGCCACACUGGGACUGAGACACGGCCCGGACCCCUACGGGAGGCAGCAGUAGGGAAUCUUGCGCAAUGGGCGAAAGCCUGACGCAGCCAUGCCGCGUGAAUGAUGAAGGUCUUAGGAUUGUAAAAUUCUUUCACCGGGGACGAUAAUGACGGUACCCGGAGAAGAAGCCCCGGCUAACUUCGUGCCAGCAGCCGCGGUAAUACGAAGGGGGCUAGCGUUGCUCGGAAUUACUGGGCGUAAAGGGAGCGUAGGCGGAUAGUUUAGUCAGAGGUGAAAGCCCAGGGCUCAACCUUGGAAUUGCCUUUGAUACUGGCUAUCUUGAGUAUGGAAGAGGUAUGUGGAACUCCGAGUGUAGAGGUGAAAUUCGUAGAUAUUCAGAAGACACCAGUGGCGAACGCGACAUACUGGUCCAUUACUGACGCUGAUGCUCGAAAGCGGUGGGGAGCAAACAGGAUUAUAUACCCUGUAGUCCACGCCGUAUACGAUGAGUGCUAGUUGUCGGCAUGCAUGCAUGUCGGUGACGUACUAACGCAUUAAGCACUCCCCUGGAGGAGUACCGUCGCCACGAUUAAAACUCAAAGGAAUUGACGGGGGCCCGCACAGCGUGAAGCAUGUGUUUAAUUUCGUAGCACCGCGGGAAUCCCUACUACAUUUUGACUGCCCCGCAACGCCCCACAAAAGAGCGUAGGUUUUCCCUUCAAGGACGUGGAACCCCAAGUGGUGGCUUGGCGUGUCUGUCACUCUAGAUAUGAAGAUGUUUAUUUCGCACACCGAGAACAAACCCCCCGUUAGUUAUCAUCCUCUCA
rnacentral:rRNA from 1 species